rnacentral:rRNA from 1 species
AUGGACCCUACCCACGCGACGACGGGGUAGGCCGGCCUGCCUAAGGGUGUGUCGGCCCACACUGGCGACUGAGAUACGGCCCGAAUUCCUACGGGAGGCAGCAGUAGGGAAUAAUGCACAAUGGGCGCAAGCAUGAUGCAGCAACGCCGCGGGGGGGAUGACGGCCUCCGGGUUGUAAAAAACUUUCACCACCGGCGAAGAAGCUGGGCCAGGGGUGACGGUAGGUGGAGAAGAAGCAGCGGCCAACUACGUGGCAGCAGCCGCGGUAAUACGUAGGGUGCGAGCGUUGUCCGGAAUUACUAGGCGUAAAAAGCUCGUAGCGCGUUGAAAUUACCCCCCUUAUCAGGGGGGGGACCGCCGAUACGGCCGGACGUGAGUACUGCAGGGGAGGCUGGAAUUCCUGGUGUAGUGGUGGAAUG